GCUGGGUAUGUUGGCAUGCACCUAUAAUCCCAGCAACUGGGGAGGCUGAGGCAGGAGGAUCUCAAGUUCGAGACUAGGCAACUUAGUGAGUCCCUGUCUCAA
rnacentral:sRNA from 1 species